UAUCUAUUGAUCUUUCUAUCUAUCUGUCUAUCUAUCUAUUGAUCGAUCUAUCUAUCUAUCUUUUCUGUCUAUCUCUUGAUCUAUGUCUUCUAUCUAUCUAUCUAUCUAUCUAUCUAUCUAUCGAUCUUUCUAUCUGUCUGUCUGUCUGUCUGUCUGUCUGUCUGUCUGUCUGUCUGUCUUCCGUGUCUGUCAUGUCUCCGCGGCUGCGUGCACAGGGAAUGGGGAGGUAAAGACGACGCUGUGGAACACGGGCAGUUUUUCUCAGCUGCUUCGGUACAUUUCUCGGAUCAGAACUGAAACUGUCAGCACCACGUCUUCAACCUCCUCAUCAUCUAGUCACGUUCAUGCAGUUGAUUAUGUGCAGCUGUUUGCAGUUCCCUACAUUAUCAACUGCUUCUGUCAUGUUCAUCAAAAUAUAUUAUACUGCUUCUCUGUGGAAAAGUCUUUACCCCCCAGAACAUCUGGACAUCACUUCACUGCAUAAAUCAUUCGGUGCGACACGGCUGAGCCAGUUCUCCUAGAUGUAUAGACAGUAGGAGAUACUGGCAGUGUGAGUACGCUGUUAUAUUGACAACACGGCUACGCGUUCUCUCUACCUUGGCGUUCUCACGGCCCGGAGAUGUUCCCAGACUGAAAUAUUUACUUCCGAGAGAUGAUUCCGAGCAAGUUGCAUGCUUUUGCAGGGAGCGUUUGCGUUGUGUGGUGUUCGGAGAAAAGCGCUUACUUAAACGCACUUGAAUGUUAAGCGCGAUUCGGGGAAAUGUACCGAGGCGACCGAGGAAAAAAACUAACACCGGAGAAUAAACCAAACCACAUUUCCUGUACACGUCGUGUAUUCGUUAAUAAAUCAGCAUGACACGUUCAAUUCGAAUAUUUUAUGUUGUUAUAUAAAAUUCAAAUUCAAAGCCUUUCAGGAAACCACAGUGCCAAAGUGCUGAACGCCUCUUACACAAAGCGUGCUCCUCAGGAGUUUACGUAUCUUCAGUUUUAGCAAGGAGCCGCUGUUUUAGAGUCACCAAACAGUGGCCAGAUGUAAGAUUAUUACUAGUCCUCCGUACGAAAGAGUCCGCUAAAUGAGACUGCUUUACUUGUGUAACUGUGUACACGUUUAAUCAGACGUUUUAAACAAUAACAUCUGACCUAAAGGUAUGAACUCAUUCUGUACCAGCUGACAUGAGAGAGAGAGGGAGAGAGAGAGGGAGAGACAGAGAGAGAUAGAGAAAGACAGAGAGAGAUAAAGGUAUGAACUCAUUCUGUACCAGCUGACAUGAGAGAGAGAGGGAGAGAGAGAGGGAGAGACAGAGAGAGACACACAGAGAGAGAUAGAGAAAGACAGAGAGACACAGAGAGAGAGAUAGAGAUAAAGACAGAGAGAGAGAAAGAGACACAGAGAGAGAUAGAGAAAGAGAGACAUAGAGAGAGAUAGAGAGAGAGAUAGAGAAAGAGAGACACAGAGAGAGAGAUAGAGAAAGAGACACAGAGAGAGAUAGAGAGAGAAAGACAGACACAGAGAGAGAGAGAUAGAGAAAGAGAGACACAGAGAGAGAGAGAGAUAGAGAAAGAGAGACAGAGAGAUAGAGAGAGAGAUAAAGACAGAGACACAGAGAGAUAGAGAAAGAGAGACACAGAGAGAGAGAGAUAAAGACAGAGACACAGAGAGAGAGAUAGAGAAAGAGAGACAGAGAGAGAGAGAUAAAGACACACAGAGAGAGAUAGAGAAAGACAGACACACAGAGAGAGAUAGAGAAAGACAGACACAGAGAGAGAGAUAGAGAAAGACACAGAGAGAGAGAGAAAGACACACAGAGAGAGAGAAAGACAGACACAGAGAGAGACACAGAGACAGAUAGAGAGAGAGAGAGAGAGAGAGAGAGAGAGAGAGACACUAACAGUGUAAAACUAUUCGAGCGGUCUGAAGCUCCACUGUGAAGUUAUUUAUGUGUAAACACACUGUUGGCUUCCUGUAGGCCGUGUCUUAGUGGUGUGUUUAUUUAUUUAUUUAUUUAAUACGAGCAACAGAAAAGACACAUGAAGUGAGAAGGGGUUCGUCGGUUCGUCGGUUCGUCGGUUUGUUGGUGUUUUUGUUUGUGUUUAUUUUUAAUUGUAACGGAUUUAAGUGGUACACGCUGGGCCUCGGGGUGUGGCGUUUGGCCUAAUCCUCCUUUGAGCUGUACAUAACUCUGAUUAAGCACUCACACACACUCUCACACACUCUCACACACACACACACACACACACGCACACACACACACACACACACUGCAGGCCAACAGCCGAGAGCGGGGAAGUUAUUUUGAGAUUUAAAAAUGUAUCCUCGGUUGCCAGAAAUCGGUUCUUACUUUGCUUUUCGGCAGCAAAACAACCGUCAGUCAUCUCCGUGUGUGUGUGUGUGUGUGUGUGUGUGUGUGUUUAUUUUAGAGCGUGUUCUAAAUUAAUUGCUUUAAAAAAAAAAAAAACAUAAAAAGAAAGCUUAAAGGUACGUGUGUUAAUCCAAGAGGAUUUAUAUUUGAACUAUUUAAAAAAAAAAAAGGUUAAUAUUCAUCUGUAGAAAUAUAAUAAAUUUAUAAUAAAUAAAUAUAAUGUUGUAUAGCAGCAAGUAGAUAUGGUUACAGAUGUUUAAUAUACGUCUGAUAAUAAAUGUGUCACAGUUCGGUUCUGUCGUCCUGCCGGCUUCUUCGUUCACGGUUCCUCCCGUUUAGCGCUCCACUUGUCCUUAUAUGGUCGCUGUUUCCUGUUCUGGUGUGCUUGUUACUUUACCAGUGUCACCUGUGGCGUGUUCCCUUUAACGGGUUUCUCCGUUUAAGCUCUCGGUGUGGCGUUAUGGUGUUACGGUGCGAGCCGUGUGUUGCUUUCGUAGCUGUGUUUAGAGUUUCCUUUUCCUUUUCUGUCCACGCUGGAGUUCAAGAACAAACAAAUGAGCAGGAGGUGGAUUUCAAUCGGCGAGAUGUUCCUGCGUUCCUCGUUUAACAAAAACAGAAACGCUUGAGCAGUGUGACUAGUGUACUAACGAAACAUUUACCCACAAUUCCUCUCUUUCUUUCUUUCUUUCCUUGGGUUCUUCUAGUUAUUUUGUUCGUGCUUUCAUUCCGUUCUUUCAUUCGAAUUAUUCCGUCAUUGCGUUCUUUCUUUUCUUCAUUUGCGCGGUUCUCGUUCGGUUCCUUCACUCGGGUUUCUCAUUUACUUUGUUCUUCCGUCGCUUCUUUCUUUUGUUCAUUCGCUCAGUUCUUUCUUUCAGUUCUUUGGCGGUCGUACAGUAGAGUGGUGAGUGUUUAUGACCCCACUGACCCCGGUGUCACAUGUAGACAUUUUAGAGAUAAACACCAAGGGCGAUUGUCGUGUGUGUGUGUGUGUGUGUGUGUGUGUGUGUGUGUGUGUGUGGCCAUAUGGUGUGUGUCCUUGUGUUGUAGCUUAAAGGUGAAGUUUCCCUGUAGAACGUCGAGCGUUUACUGCACUCUGCUAUUUAUUCACAUUCACUGUUCCCUCAGACCAACGACAACAAACACCAUUACCACCAACACCACAUCACUAUUACCACCAUUACCACCAAACAACACCAUUACUGCCAAACACCACCAUUACCGCCAUUACCACC
ensembl:lncRNA